rnacentral:rRNA from 1 species
GAUGAACGCUGGCGGCGUGCCUAAUACAUGCAAGUCGAGCGAAUGGAUUAAGAGCUUGCUCUUAUGAAGUUAGCGGCGGACGGGUGAGUAACACGUGGGUAACCUGCCCAUAAGACUGGGAUAACUCCGGGAAACCGGGGCUAAUACCGGAUAACAUUUUGAACCGCAUGGUUCGAAAUUGAAAGGCGGCUUCGGCUGUCACUUAUGGAUGGACCCGCGUCGCAUUAGCUAGUUGGUGAGGUAACGGCUCACCAAGGCAACGAUGCGUAGCCGACCUUAGAGGGUGAUCGGCCACACUGGGACUGAGACACGGCCCAGACUCCUACGGGAGGUAGCAGUAGGGAAUCUUCUGCAAUGGACGAAAAUCUGACGGAGCAACGCCGCGUGAGUGAUGAAGGCUUUCGGGUCGUAAAACUCUGUUGUUAGGGAAGAACAAGUGCUAGUUGAAUAAGCUGGCACCUUGACGGUACCUAACCAGAAAGCCACGGCUAACUACGUGCCAGCCGCCGCGGUAA